rnacentral:rRNA from 1 species
GCGCGAAAACUUUACAAUGCUGGCAACAGCGAUAAGGGAACCUCGAGUGCCAGGUUACAAAUCUGGCUGUCGAGAUGCCUAAAAAGCAUUUCAUAGCAAGGGCCGGGCAAGACCGGUGCCAGCCGCCGCGGUAACACCGGCGGCUCGAGUGGUAACAGUUAUUAUUGGGUCUAAAGGGUCUGCAGCCGGCCGGAUAAGUCUCUUGAGAAAUCUGGCAGCUUAACUGUCAGGCUUUCAGGAGAUACUGUCUGGCUCGAGGCCGGGAGAGGUGAGAGGUACUUCAGGGGUAGGGUUGAAAUCUUGUACUCCUUGAAGGACCACCAGUGGCGAAGGCGUCUCACCAGAACGGACCUGACUGCAAGGGACGAAAGCUAGGGGCACGAACC